AGCGGCAGGCUUAAUACAUGCAAGUUGAGGGGCAGCAUGAUAUACGCGAGUAUAUUGAUGGCGACCGGCGGACGGGUGAGUAAUAGGUAGGAGACCUACCUCAUACAGGGGGAUAGCAUAGAGAAAUCUGUGGUAAUACCCCAUGAGGUUAUAUGAAUAGAGGCAUAUAAUCAAAGCAUAAGCGAUUAUGCGGUAUGAGAGGGGCCUACUGACCAUUAGCUAGUUGGUGAGGUAAGGGCUCACCAAGGCGAAGAUGGUUAGGGGUUUUGAGAGAGAGACCCCCCACAUUGGAACUGAGAUACGGUCCAGACUCCUACGGGAGGCAGCAGUAGGGAAUAUUGGGCAAUGGGCGGAAGCCUGACCCAGCCAUGCCGCGUGAAGGAAGACGGCCUUAUGGGUUGUAAACUUCUUUACUAUGCGACUAACUAGAUUUACGAGAUAAUUCUAUAGAAUGUAGCAUAGCAAAAAGCACCGGCUAACUCCGUG
rnacentral:rRNA from 1 species